rnacentral:rRNA from 1 species
CGUGUAGGCGGCUCGUUAAGUCAUGCGUGAAAGCCCUCGGCUUAACCGAGGAAGUGCGUAUGAUACUGGCGAGCUAGAGUUCGGAAGAGGGGGGUGGAAUUCCAGGUGUAGCGGUGAAAUGCGUAGAUAUCUGGAGGAACACCGGUGGCGAAGGCGACCCCCUGGUCCGACACUGACGCUGAGACGCGAAAGCGUGGGUAAGCAAACA